rnacentral:rRNA from 1 species
AUUGAACGCUGGCGGCAGGCCUAACACAUGCAAGUCGAACGGUAACAGGAAGCAGCUUGCUGCUUCGCUGACGAGUGGCGGACGGGUGAGUAAUGUCUGGGAAGCUGCCUGAUGGAGGGGGAUAACUACUGGAAACGGUAGCUAAUACCGCAUAAUGUCGCAAGACCAAAGAGGGGGACCUUCGGGCCUCUUGCCAUCGGAUGUGCCCAGAUGGGAUUAGCUUGUUGGUGGGGUAACGGCUCACCAAGGCGACGAUCCCUAGCUGGUCUGAGAGGAUGACCAGCCACACUGGGACUGAGACACGGUCCAGACUCCUACGGGAAGCAGCAGUGGGGAAUAUUGCACAAUGGGCGCAAGCCUGAUGCAGCCAUGCCGCGUGUAUGAAGAAGGCCUUCGGGUUGUAAAGUACUUUCAGCGGGGAGGAAGGGAGUAAAGUUAAUACCUUUGCUCAUUGACGUUACCCGCAGAAGAAGCACCGGCUAACUCCGUG